GCUCCCUUGCUCAGUGGUUAGAGUGCUCCCUUCAAUUGGGAAGGUGCCAAGUUCGAGACAUGUCAGGAACA